rnacentral:lncRNA from 1 species
AUGGUUUGGGGUUUCUCUUUAACACCAGCUCCUGUCAUCAAUAAUCUAAAUAGUUUCCUCAGUAUAAAUACUCUUCCCUGUGUUUUCUGCCAGAUUGUCUUGGUGCAGCGAAGCAUUACGAUAUGUGAUCAUGUGUCAUUUUAUUUCUCUAAUCUUCUUCUUCAUAGUUCAUUAAAAACAAUCAUUUUGAACUGCAGUCUUGUGUCCAGUGUCCUUUAUGACUAUACUGACAAACCAUUAUACCUCUCACUGGAUCAGGCAGCCAUCCCAUCCUGUCUAAAAUCAGCCACAAUCAUCCCAGUGCCGAAGAAGUCUCCCAUCUCCAGCCUGAAUGAUUACCGCCCUGUGGCCCUCACACCGGUAAUCAUGAAAUGCUUUGAGAGACUAGUCCUUCAGCACAUCAAGGAUUACCUCCCCCCAGAAUUCGACCCCCACCAGUUUGCAUACCGUGCAAACACAUCCACAGAAGACGCCAUCGCCACAGCCCUCCACGCUGUGCUGAGUCAUCUAGAGCAGCGGCAGAGCUACGUCCGAAUGCUCUUCGUGGACUACAGCUCAGCCUUUAAUACAAUCAUCCCGGACAUCCUCAUCACCAAACUGAUCACUCUUGGCCUCCCUCCUCUCACAUGUGCCUGGAUAAAGGACUUUCUCACAAACCGGCCCCAGACUGUAAGACUCGGCCCUCAUCUCUCCUCCACUCGCACACUGAGCACCGGCUCCCCACAGGGGUGUGUGCUGAGCCCCCUCCUGUAUUCUCUCUACACCCACGACUGCAGUUCGACCCACAACAACACUCUCAUCAUCAAGUUUGCUGAUGACACCACGGUAGUCGGACUCAUCUCGAAGGGAGACGAAGCAGAGUACAGAGAGGAAGUCCUGAAGCUGGCAGCCUGGUGUUCAGAAAACAACCUGGCACUGAACACUAAGAAAACCAAAGAGCUCAUUGUUGACUUCAGGAGACACAGCACCGACUUGGUCCCCCUCUACAUCAACGAGGAGUGUGUGGAGAGGGUCCACACCUUCCGGUUCCUUGGUGUCCUCAUCUCUGCUGACAUCUCCUGGACAGAAAACAUCUCAGCGGUCGUCAAGAAGGCCCAACAGUGGCUGCACUUCCUGAGAGUCCUCAGGAAGUACAAGCUGAACUCCAACCUGCUGCUCACCUUCUACCGCUCGUCCAUUGAGAGCCUGCUAACCUACUGCAUCACGGUAUGGUACGGCAGCUGCACCAAGGCAGAUAGAGUGAGGCUCCAGAGUGUGGUCAAGACAGCACAAAAGAUCAUCGGCUGCCCUCUCCCCUCCCUGAUGGACAUUUAUUCCUCCCGCUGA